rnacentral:sRNA from 1 species
AGUUUUAUGUUUUAGUUUUCUUAUGUUGUUUAUUUUAAAUUUAGUAUUUGUUUCUUGUUAAGUAUAU